rnacentral:lncRNA from 1 species
ACUCAAGGAAAUAAAAUCUCAAGGCAGAUGAGCUCAAGGAGCAUACUUGAUGCAGCUUUUUAAUAUUCAGUUUAUCCCAAGUCCCAAUGACUUCUACGAUGAUGAACGGGGAAUUUUCCUAAAGUAAUCAGGGUCCUGUGAGUUGUUUUCCUGCACGCUGGUAGCUGUGAUGGACAGAAAUACAGCCACAAAGCCGCUGAGGCUGGGAGAAGCUGCCUGCAGGGCACACGCUGUGCCAAGGCACCUGGAGUGUAACCAGCACAAAGGCCCUGGAAAGUUAAGUGUGGCUCCACUUUGCAGGCAGGAAAAUGGAACUUCACAGCACUUAGUAGACACAUUGCUAGCAAAUGACACUCAUACUCUACAGUACCUCGCUAGUUUUCUGUAUCUCCUGGAUCUUAUUUGAUACAUUAGAACUCGAAAUAAUGAAAACAAAUGAGAUUUCCCAGGCACCCCCCCCAACAUCCCAUAUUUAUCUGGAUUUUAUUUAUUCCUUUCAACUUGUAUUUUACUUGAAGCUCACCAUCAUAAUAUUUUCCUACUUCUUUUUCAUUGUUUGAUGUUUCUAGAUAUUUCUAAUAUUACUGCAUAUUCUAGAUAUGAACUAUUAGACUUUGUAAGGCAUUCUAUUUUGCUUUAUAAGAUCUUUUAAAAACAGGAAGGAAGGAGUUCCCGUUGGGGCACAGCGGAAACAAACCUGACUAGUAUCCAUGAGGAUGCUGGUUGGAUCCCUGGCCUCACCCAGUGGGUUAAAGAUCUGGCAUUGCUGUGAGCUGCAGUGUAGGUCGCAGGUGUGGCUGGGGGGGGGAGGAUGGGAAAGAAGGAGGGAAGGGAGAGAGGGAGGGAGGAAGGAGGGAAGGAAGUUGGAGAGUUCUCCUGCAUAAUGACAGAUCUUCUUGCUCUGGAUGUGGCUAGGAUUGAGGAGACCCAGCACAGGCUCAGCAUGGUAUUGAAAUUCUCACUGCAUUUAGACAAGUCCUUAGAGUGACCUCAGUUUCUUACCCUGUAGCCUAAACUGUGGUCUCUGAAAUCUCUCUUCUGACUCUGAGUCCUCCCUUCCAGGCACCCUGGGAAGACAUGUGAUCUGCUUGUAGGGAAAAGUACAACUGUUUGCCAAGCCUGUAUAAGAGCUGGUCUCUAGAAAAGAUCCCAUGUUGGUGCUGAAAACAAACAUGUCUCAGGAAGCAGUGUUUCUUAAUUUACUGUUGGGAAAAGUAUUCUUUUCCCCUCAGCUUCAUCCCAUUUCUUCUGAUUCUGUUCUCAGAACACACUUGUAAUACUGCUGCUAACACUCUCUGAACACAGCCUAGGUAUCUAAAAAUAGUAGCCUUCUUUCUUCAUCAGAUAUGCUACAGUCCUGGAGGUUUAACAUGGUUUUGUUCCUUUGUAAAGAUAGAUGUUGCAAGGCAAUUUUUUUUUUAAUCGAAAGCGUUGACCCGUACCACUCUGAAAAUCUCAGACGUCACUGUCAAAAUUUUAUAGACAGUUGGUUCGUUACUGACAUAGCUGAGGAAAAUGACAGGAAAAAAAUAGUCAAAUGAGAUUAGGAUAAAAUUCCAAAUCACUCCUUGUUUAAAAGUCUUGUUCAAAUCAGCAGGGCUAAAGCUCACAUACAUUUUAUUUGGUUUUGUACUGCCUCAUAUGAAUUACUUCAUCUAGUUUUAAAUGAGUCAGAUACAGAUCCAGUGAGAAAAGACGGCACUUGAUUUUUUUUUUUAGUGUUUUUAUGAAUCUAUCUCAUAAGUUAUAAAAUAAUCAACAUAAAAUUUGGUUUUCAAAAAGUAAACACUUAUCUGUGAACAUUUUAAAAGAGCAAAUAACUCACUUUAGUAUCAAACAUAAUUAAUUGUAAGGUUGUUUUGUUUUUUGUUUUUGUCUUUUUUUCUUUUCAGAGCCUCACCUAUGGCAUACCGAGGUUCCCAGGCUAGGGGUCUAAUCAGAGCUGUUGCUGCCGGCCUACACCACAGCCACAGCAAUGCCAGAUCCAAGCCACGUCUGGGACCUACACCACAGCUUACCGUAACACAGGAUCCUUAACCCACUGAGCGAGGCCAGGGAUCGAACCUGCAACCUCAUGGUUCCCAGUCAGAUUCGUUUCCACUGCACCACAACAGGAACUCCUAAUUGUAAGCUUUUUAUCAAACUUUUUUUUUUUAAGAAAUAUAAUUCCUUGUCAUGAAAUUGAUGUCAUCACCCCUUCCGACAAAAACAUAUGUUUCUAACAUGCUUCCAUUUUACUAUAAAGAAAAUAAAUCCAAGCGUUUCCAUUUUCUCUUUUUUGCUUUUUUAUAUUAUUUUUCCUUUCAAGAAAUACAAUAUUAUUCUUCUGUUUGUGAGAGCUGUCACGUCAUUUUGUCUCUUUAGUCCUUGUGUUCACUUUCCUGAUUUUAUUUACACAUCGAAUGGUCUCAUCGGUCUUCCUGAUGGUUUAACGUUCAGGCCCAUAGCCUUUCUUCCGAAUCCAUUUCAUCAAUUUGAAAUGGAUGCUAGGAGAGAGGUUCUGGCACUGUUCACACCCCCGGGAGCCCCUGUAUUACUUCCCAUCCCCAACAAGAUGCAAUCAGGAAAGCCUUCCGGUACCGGCUUCCGCCUUUCGGUUCAUCUCUCCUGUACAAGGCUGGGGCUUCUGGUGGGUAGCAAACCUUCAAACUAAAGCUCUUAUCAAAAAUUUCUCUAGAGACUGUGAUAGCCACUUAGUUUUAAAAGCCUGAAAGAAAGCAGGCAGCUGUUUGACUGGGUCAACAUCCCUGGCCUCCCUGGCCCCUCCAGCCAUGCCCGCUAAUAAGGCCACAUGGCAGACUCCCAGCAGCUCUCAGGAAGCACUGUGAGUCUCUGUUGGUGAGAAGGGAAAGAAAAGAAGAGAGAGAUUAGGUGUGGGGCAGACUGGCAGGUGUGAGAAAGGCCAGCUGGCAACCGCACUUGAUUCUGAUAUCCAGGUACCACUCUUGAAAGAUUAUGUGUCAUGUCCUUGCUUUGGGCACUGUUAACAACCGCCCUGGCUGUGAGUGAAUAUAUGCCAGUGGGGUCUGAACAAGUUUUAGCUGGUUGUGGUGAAUAUGAACUCUUCAGAAGCUUCCUGAAAGGUUAGGGCCAGCUUGGACCAGUUAGACAGGGGUUGCCCAAGUUCUGAGUAGUCAAGUCUUGACUGAACAAGGAUAACAUGAGCAGGCUGGUCAAAACCAAAAGAAUGCCAGCCAAAUAAAGGUUUUCUGGUUUAAAUAAAAAUGUCGUUUCUACAAAUUAAGUAAGGAUAUUUUCUGAUGAUUUUCUUUGAUUUUGAUAGUACUUCCUGAGUUCUAAUUAGAUGCCUGGUAGCACAUAAAAAAUUUUUGAAAAUACUUGCCGUCAUUUGUUGUAAAACAUACGUUCUUUGCAUUGAAUUUUUUUAUGAUCUGGAUUCAACUUCGAUCUCUUCUUUAGUAAGAAAUUCCUUCUUUUUUCCUAUUUUUUGAGGUUUCAUUGAAGUAUAAUUGAUUGAUAAUGUUGUGAUAAUUUGUGGUAUAUAACAGUAAUUCAGUGAUACAUAUACUCACAUCCAUUCUUUUUUCAGAUUCUUUUCCCAUAUAGAUUGUCAUAGAAUAUUGAGUUCCCUAUGCUAUAGAGUAGUAAGCAAUUUUUUAAUUAAGAAAUGCCAAAAAAUGAAAAAUGAUGUUAAUAUGUGUAUACUGUAGUCUUGAAACUUUUGUUUUGCACCACUCAACUGGCUGAUUAACUUGCUGUUUUGUAAACUCUCAUAUACGUCGAAGACACUAUAAAUAAUCAUGACAAUAUCUAAUAAAAAUAGAUGUCAUAUCACAAAACCACAGCAGAGUUUAAACUUAGUUUAGCAAAAUCAACAACUUGCUCACAAGACUGAUGAACUGCAGUUACACGUUUUUAACAAAAGCAUUUCUAGCAACCAGAUAAGCAAGUGUCUUCUUGACGCAGAUGGAUGAUGGCGCAUGUGCCAGAAGCCAGUGGAAAAUAGGAGCUGUCAUCUAGAAAAUGACAGAGCCAUUUCGAGUCCCUCUAGAUUAGCACUCCAUCUUCAGCUCAGCAGAUAUACUGUUAGCUGAAGGUCUAUUGCCAGCAAAUCAGAAGCAAGAGGGCAGAGCCCUAUCCUUCUGAGAUGACUAGAAUCAUCAGCGACUCAGAGGCAGAGAAUCCCAGCUCCCAGUUAGGUUUGUGGUAUAAGAAACAAAACAAAUAGGAGUUCCCUUCGUGGCUCAGUGGUUAACGAACCCGACCAGCAUCCAUGAGGACCUGGGCUCGAUCCCUGGCCUCACUCAAUGGGUUAAGGAUCCAGCAUUGCUGUGAGCUGUAGUGUAGGUUGCAGAUGGGGCUCGGAUCCUGCGUUGCUGUGGCUGUGGUGUAGGCCGGCAGCUGCAGCUCCAAUUUGACUGCUAGCCUGGGAACCUCCAUAUACUGCAGGUACAGCCA